rnacentral:rRNA from 1 species
GAUGAACGCUGGCGGCGUGCCUAAUACAUGCAAGUCGAGCGAACAGACGAGGAGCUUGCUCCUCUGACGUUAGCGGCGGACGGGUGAGUAACACGUGGAUAACCUACCUAUAAGACUGGGAUAACUUCGGGAAACCGGAGCUAAUACCGGAUAAUAUAUUGAACCGCAUGGUUCAAUAGUGAAAGACGGUUUUGCUGUCACUUAUAGAUGGAUCCGCGCCGCAUUAGCUAGUUGGUAAGGUAACGGCUUACCAAGGCAACGAUGCGUAGCCGACCUGAGAGGGUGAUCGGCCACACUGGAACUGAGACACGGUCCAGACUCCUACGGGAGGCAGCAGUAGGGAAUCUUCCGCAAUGGGCGAAAGCCUGACGGAGCAACGCCGCGUGAGUGAUGAAGGGCUUCGGAUCGUAAAACGCUGUUAUUAGGGAAGAACAAAUGUGUAAGUAACUAUGCACGUCUUGACGGUACCUAAGCAGAAAGCCACGGCUAACUACGU